GCCGCCGCCGAUUUCGCCAGUCGCCCGUCGCCGCCGCGGUCGCGUUCGUCGGUCCGUUUAACGCCGGCAAUUGUUGAUAACCGUUGUUACUUUAUUACCGAUAGUAAUUACAAACGCGCGCGCACUCACAACUUGUACUUCACGCGUAUCGCUUUAUCGCUGUAUCCGCACGUACGAAAUUAUACGCGGCCGUCACCGGCGGUCCGGCACACGCGGAAACGUAUUUUGAAAUACCUACACGAGCACGGGGUGAUUGAACGUUUCGUCUAUUUU